rnacentral:rRNA from 1 species
GAGUUUGAUUAUGGCUCAGGACGAACGCUGGCGGCGUGCCUAAUACAUGCAAGUGGAACGCAUUGAUUUCACCGGAGCUUGCUCCACCGAAAUUAGUGAGUCGCGAACGGGUGAGUAACGCGUAGGUAACCUACCUCUUAGCGGGGGAUAACUAUUGGAAACGAUAGCUAAUACCGCAUAACAAUAGGAUACACAUGUACCCUAUUUAAAAGGAGCAACUGCUUCACUAAGAGAUGGACCUGCGUUGUAUUAGCUAGUUGGUAGGGUAACGGCCUACCAAGGCAUCGAUACAUAGCCGACCUGAGAGGGUGAUCGGCCACACUGGGACUGAGACACGGCCCAGACUCCUACGGGAGGCAGCAGUAGGGAAUCUUCGGCAAUGGGGGGAACCCUGACCGAGCAACCGCCGCGUGAGUGAAGAAGGUUUUCGGAUCGUAAAGCUCUGUUGUAAGAGAAGAACGUGUGAGAGAGUGGAAAGUUCUCANCAGUGA